CAGAAAUGAGGCGCUUUCACAAUCGCGCUCGUUCGGCUCGAGGCGGAAGAGUCCCGGGGAAGACAGCAGAUCAUGAUUCCGCGAUCGGAGACGACGGGGAAGGGCAGGACAUCGCGUUCAUAUCACACACACCAUAGCACUUGUGCUUUGGGUUGUCAUCACUUCAUCUUCAACUGUCUGAAAGAGGCCUGCAGGUUUUGUGCCAAAAUGGAUUGGUAUUUGGAGCUAUCCGUGAUUCCUCCUAGAACCCCAGCUGAAGAGAAGCAGCCCCUUAGCAUGAUGCUGCCACCACCAUGUUUCACCAUGGGUAUUGUGUUCUUUAGGCGAUAAGCUGAAGUGUUUUUGUGCCAAACAUAUCUUUUAGAAGUUCUACAUUGGUCUCAGCAGACCAUAACACAUUUUGCCACAUUGUUUGGGCUUAUUGUAUGUAUGUAUGUAUGUAUGUAUUUUUUUUUUUGUGAGAAAGGGCUUCUGUCUAGCUCCCCUAUCCUAUAGCCAAGACAUGUGAAGAAUACAAGAGAUUGUUGUCACAUGCAGGUAGUGACCAAUACCUGACAGAUAUUUCUGCAGCUCCUGUAAUGUUGUCGUAGGUCUCUCGGCAGCCUCCCUGAUAAGUUUUACUCUGGUCCUGUCAUCAAUUUUGGAGGGACGUCCUGUUCUUGGUAAUGUCACUGUGGUCCCCCAUCUUCUCCACUUGUUGAUGAUGUCCUUCACAGUGUUCAAUGGUACAUCUAAUGUCUUGGAAAUUCUUUUUUACCCCUCUCCUGAUUGAUACCUUUUGACAAUGAGAUCCUGUACAUGCUUUGUAAACUCUUUGUGGACCAUAGCUUCAGCAGUCGGAUGAAACUAAGAAGAAAAAGUAAAUGAAAGAAAAUCCUACAGAAACAGCUGAUCUUUAUUUGGGGUUAAUCACAAUCACUUCAUUGAACAUUUGAACAUGAGUUUGAUUGUGAUUGGUUCAUUCUGAGCAAAGUCACAUGCCCCAUUAUAAAAGGGUGUGCACAUGUGUUUCUGCCAUGUUAUUGUAAGUUUUUUUAUUUUUUUCCUAAAUGUUUCUAUUUGUUUUUCAACUGAAUUUUGUUCAAGAUUUAUUGUCAUGGUCAAGGACAACAAAAUUGUAGCUGCAUCUCCAAGGCAGACAAGUUUCCCCACAUGCCCUCCCAACCAUCCACAAGUAACAUUUAAUAUAAUACACAUAACAAAUAACACACUUCCAUUCUGCCCUCCCUACUUACCCUCCCCACGUACCCUCCCCAACCACCCCUUCUUCUUAUUAGUAUAAUUAUUAUUAUUAUUGUUGUUAUUAUUAUUGCACAUACAGUAUGUUGGUUAUUGCACAGAGUUGCACAUGCAAGAUUUUUAGUUAUUCUACAUUCUGUAUUGUUGCACUGUUCUGGUUGUUACACAACUUAUACAGUAAUUAUUGCACUUUACAUAUCUUAAAGUUGUCACUAAAAUAGUUAUUUCGUGUAUACCUCAUUGUGUCGUUUAGUUAUUGCACAUACUUCUUGUUAUUAGUUGUUAUAUCACAUUGUUGGUUGUUAGAUCACAUUAAAGGUGGAUAAAAAGCCUUGACAUGAUUUAUUUUCAUGGUUUUAUUUUUUACAUCACAGCAUGUAAACUUUUUAUAUCCACUGUAUUCUUCUUCUUCUUCUUCUUAUUAUUAUUAUAUACAGUGCUAUUAUACCUAUUGUUAUGCAAUAGAUUUCUAAGUUCAAUAUUUAUAAAGACACAAAACCUAAUAAAAGUGGUCUGUCCCCUGAGAAACGUCCUCUCUUAUUUGCCGCUCUAAUUAUGACAAAAGUCUGCUUCCAAAUAAGAUGAUAGACCUGAUGUUUGAUGUUAUUCUGGUGUGUGUUAUCCUGUUCAUAGGUAUGUGGUGAUAGAACUGUAUGUGGUGUGUGUUAUCCUGUUCAUAGGUAUGUGGUAGUAGACAUGUGAAUGAAUGUGUGAUGAUGGGGUAGAUCUGCGCUCCAGUCCCUCCUUAUUUCACAGGUGAGCACUCCCUCUGGUGGUGCAGAAAGCUGGAAAAUCUCAGGAAGAGCAGCGAUGAUCUGCACUGUUGUAUUGAACCACCGCAAGAUAAAUCCUCAAUCUUGCAAUGAGGGUUUGAUGUGAAAGUGUAAAUAUGCAAAUUGAUCCAUACAGGAAAUUAGUCACUAUGUAGAUAUUAGACCUGAUGUAACAGACAGCACCUGAGGAAUCAAGCUCAUUUUUAUCUAUGUGUGUGUGUGUGUGUGUGUGUGUGUGUUUUAAUACUCCCUAUUUCAGUAAACAUGAAUAUAAUAAUAAAUGCCUGAUGUAACAUGGUGAAAUUA